GGCUCAAUGGUCUAGUGGUAGGAUACUCGCUUCGGGCUAACAUUGGUCCGUCUCAUCAAUGAGGCAAUGUGAGUGGUCCCGGGUUCAAAUCCCGGUUGAGCCC